GGGGAUGUUUUUGGAUUCGACGGGUAUAGUUCGAGUUCUAACUGCGUUUCGAAGGUUGCGUCUUCGUAAAAACGCUCAGUUUUAAAUUAUAACUGCAAACAAUAAUUCAAACUCUUACGCAUUAGCUGCCUAAACACCAGCAGGCGUAAAUCCAAGCUGGGCUCGGUCAUGGUGCGGUUUUGGGUUUCAUUUAAUUAGUGACCUACGCUUAACUAUGCAGUUGGAAUAGUUAAGAAGAGUUUUUUGCCAACUAGUUAGUCAUGCUAGCCUUGAUUAGCGGCGCUUUGGCUAACGAACUUUAAAUUGUUAAUCUAUGAACGUAGACGUUAGAAUGGCGAUAUAUUCGGACAGGGGUUCGAUUCCCCUCAUCUCCAUCC
rnacentral:tmRNA from 1 species